rnacentral:rRNA from 1 species
GAUGAACGCUGGCGGCGUGCUUAACACAUGCAAGUCGAACGGGAAGGCUCCUGCUUGCAGGGGUACUCGAGUGGCGAACGGGUGAGUAACACGUGGGUGAUCUGCCCUGCACUUCGGGAUAAGCCUGGGAAACUGGGUCUAAUACCGGAUAGGACGAUGGUUUGGAUGCCAUUGUGGAAAGUUUUUUCGGUGUGGGAUGAGCUCGCGGCCUAUCAGCUUGUUGGUGGGGUAAUGGCCUACCAAGGCGUCGACGGGUAGCCGGCCUGAGAGGGUGUACGGCCAAAUUGGGACUGAGAUACGGGCCAGACUCCUACGGGAGGCAGCAGUGGGGAAUAAUGCACAAUGGGCGCAAGCCUGAUGCAGCGACGCCGCGUGGGGGAUGACGGCCUUCGGGUUGUAAACUCCUUUCGCUAGGGACGAAGCGCAAGUGACGGUACCUGGAGAAGAAGCACCGGCUAACUACGUG